GAGUUUGAUCGUGGCUCAGGAUGAACGCUGGCGGCGUGCCUAAUACAUGCAAGCCGAGCGAACGGACGAGAAGCUUGCUUCUCUGAUGUUAGCGGCGGACGGGUGAGUAACACGUGGAUAACCUACCUAUAAGACUGGGAUAACUUCGGGAAACCGGAGCUAAUACCGGAUAAUAUUUUGAACCGCAUGGUUCAAAAGUAAAGACGGUCUUGCUGUCACUUAUAGAUGGAUCCGCGCUGCAUUAGCUAGUUGGUAAGGUAACGGCUUACCAAGGCAACGAUGCAUAGCCGACUGAGAGGGUGAUCGGCCACACUGGAA
rnacentral:rRNA from 1 species